rnacentral:rRNA from 1 species
GAUGAACGCUGGCGGCGUGCCUAAUACAUGCAAGUCGAGCGAACGGACGAGAAGCUUGCUUUUCUGAUGUUAGCGGCGGACGGGUGAGUAACACGUGGAUAACCUACCUAUAAGACUGGGAUAACUUCGGGAAACCGGAGCUAAUACCGGAUAAUAUUUUGAACCGCAUGGUUCAAAAGUGAAAGACGGUCUUGCUGUCACUUAUAGAUGGAUCCGCGCUGCAUUAGCUAGUUGGUAAGGUAAUGGCUUACCAAGGCAACGAUGCAUAGCCGACCUGAGAGGGUGAUCGGCCACACUGGAACUGAGACACGGUCCAGACUCCUACGGGAGGCAGCAGUAGGGAAUCUUCCGCAAAGGGCGAAAGCCUGACGGAGCAACGCCGCGUGAGUGAUGAAGGUCUUCGGAUCGUAAAACUCUGUUAUUAGGGAAGAACAUAUGUGUAAGUAACUGUGCACAUCUUGACGGUACCUAAUCAGAAAGCCACGGCUAACUACGUG